GCAUUCGGUCCAUACAUGCCAUAGGUGGGAUUUACCUGCAGGGUUAUACUGUGAGCGAACAGUCUCUGGGCUCCAGGAGAUCUGUAAUUGAAAUGAAACCUCCCUCCGAAGAAUUUAAAACCUUCCACCUAUGUGCAGAGAACGUAAAUGAAAACAAACGAUGGGUUACAGCUUUGAAAGCCUCUAUUAACAAAUGGUUGCCCCUACACCAGGCCAUUCAAGACUUUAUGAAUCGACCACUGGAGGAGACAAGGAUGUGAUGAAAAAUCUGAUUUUUCUUAUUUCCA